rnacentral:tRNA from 2 species
GGGCGAUUAGCUCAGUGGUAGAGCGCUUCGUUCACAUCGAAGAUGUCGGCAGUUCGAAUCUGUCAUCGCCCACCA